GACGAACGCUGGCGGCGUGCUUAACACAUGCAAGUCGAGCGGUAAGGCCCUUUCGGGGGUACACGAGCGGCGAACGGGUGAGUAACACGUGGGUGACCUGCCCUCAGCUCUGGGAUAAGCCUGGGAAACCGGGUCUAAUACCGGAUAUGACUCCAUGACGCAUGUUGUGGGGUGGAAAGCCUUGUGCGGCUGAGGAUGGGCCCGCGGCCUAUCAGCUUGUUGGUGGGGUGANGGCCUACCAAGGCGACGACGGGUAGCCGGCCUGAGAGGGCGACCGGCCACACUGGGACUGAGACACGGCCCAGACUCCUACGGGAGGCAGCAGUGGGGAAUUGUUCGCAAUGGGCGCAAGCCUGACGACGCAACGCCGCGUGGAGGAUGAAGGUCUUCGGAUUGUAAACUCCUGUUGCCCGGGACGAAUGGCUCCGACCUAACACGUCGGAGUGUGACGGUACCGGGUGAGGGAAGCCCGGCUAACUCUGUGCCAGCCGCCGCAGUAAAACCUGAGACU
rnacentral:rRNA from 1 species